rnacentral:rRNA from 1 species
AUUGAACGCUGGCGGAAUGCUUUACACAUGCAAGUCGAACGGUAGAGGGGGCAACCCCUCGAGAGUGGCGAACGGGUGAGUAAUAUAUCGGAACGUGCCCAGUCGUGGGGGAUAACGUAGCGAAAGUUACGCUAAUACCGCAUACGAUCUAAGGAUGAAAGCGGGGGAUCGCAAGACCUCGCGCGAUUGGAGCGGCCGAUAUCAGAUUAGGUAGUUGGUGGGGUAAAGGCUCACCAAGCCAACGAUCUGUAGCUGGUCUGAGAGGACGACCAGCCCCACUGGAACUGAGACACGGUCCAGACUCCUACGGGAGUCAGCAGUGGGGAAUUUUGGACAAUGGACGCAAGUCUGAUCCAGCCAUUCCGCGUGCAGGAUGAAGGCCCUCGGGUUGUAAACUGCUUUUGUACGGAACGAAAAGGUCUCUCUUAAUACGGGGGGCUCAUGACGGUACCGUAAGAAUAAGCACCGGCUAACUACGUGCCAGCAGCCGCCGUAA